rnacentral:rRNA from 1 species
GGAUGCGAUCAUACCAGCACUAAAGCAUCGGAUCCCAUCAGAACUCCGAAGUUAAGGGUGCUUGGGCGAGAGUAGUACUAGGAUGGGUGACCUCCGCCCUCCUUUCCCUGCCC